UCCCGGUCCCAGGGGUGGCUGGUGAAGCCACCCCAUCUUGAACAGGAUCCUGCAAAACAAAAAUCAAACCCAGGUGUCAGAACUCGUUUCCUAAUUUCAGACAGAACGCUGGAACCUUUACAGGAUACGUGGCAAUAAGCAGAUCAUCAGACUUGGCUUGGAAGUUCCAGAUCUGGUCCCAGAUGUUACAGAUGACACAACAGAAGAACAGAGAAGUUGAGUAACUUGUUCAAGGUUAUACACCCUGUCAGCGGCAGAGCUCAGAUUUAAAUACAAAGGUUUGGCUUCAAGGAGAAGACUGCAAAAAGAAAAAGGCAUAUAUACAAAAUGUCAUUCUAAUUAGUGUGCUUUGCAUUUGUUUUUGAGAGCACCAGGAUGAAAAGUUGACUAUUACUUUAUUUAUUAUUAAAAUUUUG